AUUGAACGCUGGCGGCAGGCCUAACACAUGCAAGUCGAGCGGAUGACGGGAGCUUGCUCCUUGAUUCAGCGGCGGACGGGUGAGUAAUGCCUAGGAAUCUGCCUGGUAGUGGGGGACAACGUUCCGAAAGGGGCGCUAAUACCGCAUACGUCCUACGGGAGGAAGUGGGGGAUCUUCGGACCUCACGCUAUCAGAUGAGCCGAGGUCGGAUUAGCUAGUUGGUGAGGUAAAGGCUCACCAAGGCGACGAUCCGUAACUGGUCUGAGAGGAUGAUCGGUCACACUGGAACUGCGAAACGGUCCAGACUCCUACGGGAGGCAGCAGUGGGGAAUAUUGGACAAUGGGCGAAAGCCUGAUCCAGCCAUGCCGCGUGUGUGAAGAAGGUCUUCGGAUUGUAAAGCACUUUAAGUUGGGAGGAAGGGCAGUAAGUUAAUACCUUGCUGUCUUGACGUUACCGACAGAAUAAGCACCGGCUAACUCUGUGCCAGCCGCCGCCGUAACAC
rnacentral:rRNA from 1 species